UUCAGGGCCCUCAGGGCGCAGCCCACAAUCUGUUGUUUCUCUCACUGUUCUGUCAGGGCGGAUCCAUCGCUGCUGAGUCAGUGUCUCCCUCUCCCUCCGGCUCAGCUCUGUCUCUUCUUCCUCAGCCCCUCGGCCCAUUCACUCCUACUGGGUCGGACUGGGGAGAACUGUCUCACUCACUGGGCCCCUAAUGAACUGAUGCCUGAUGGGGCCCCCAGGGAUACAGGAGAAACUGGGAAUCGGCCUGAAUCCCCCCGUCCUGUUCUGCUUUAUACUGGUCUCUGUCUCACUGCCGGGAACUGACCCAGUAGAAGUGAAAGUGAGCGACUCGCCAGUGAAAGUACUGAGGGACCAGGAUGGGUUUAUCCCAUGUACAAUCACUGGAUACAGCAGCGCAGAACUGGACCUACAGCGCCUCUCUGUCCAUUGGACCCUGGGAUCCGGCCCAGUUUAUAUGUAUGACAGAGGCUCCCACAACCCCAUCAGGCCGGGAUCAGAACUAGACAUUCGGCUGAUUAAAGGCAACGCUGGGCUUUCCCUGGCGCGGGUACAAAUCACUGAUGAGGGAGAAUAUACCUGCGCUGUUACCUACGAUAAUGAGCGGGCAGAGGGGAGAUCUGCUCUGGAGGUGGCAGUUAAACCCAGUGCCAGCCUGGUGCCCCCCGACGUUAUUAUAGAGGAAGGAACAGAGGGGGGGGUUACAUGCCGAGCCAGUAAUUAUUACCCAGAAACAAUAAAGUUCCAGUGGAUAAAACAUCUCAAUGACGGUGAACAUGUUGUGCUGCGCCGAGGAGUCUCCACCAAUGAGCCGCUAGAGAAUGGGGACGGAACCUUCACUGUAACCAGUCAGCUGCUGUUAAAGCCUUCUAUGGGGGAUGAUGGGGGAAAGUAUUCCUGUGUCAUAUCCCACAGAUCCCUGGGAGACUCUCUGGUUCUGGAUUUUAUUCUCUCUGUAAAGGAGUCACAUGUCCUGAUGAUCAGAGCUGUGAUUGGCACACUGGCUGCCCUCAUACUGCCGUUAUGUAUUUGGGGCUACAAAACGCUUGUGAGAAACGAGCCGCCCAGACUUUCUCCAAUAACGGGAUCACAAUAUUUGCUCCAUAUGAAAAAGGCAACUAUGUUCUUCCAGAUCUCAGGGUUCCGCCCCAAACCCAUCCAUAUUUCUAUACAUUUGAAAAGAAAAUGGGGCGAAUCAACUGAAAUUUACUCCUGGAAUUCUGAGGCACAAACUGGUUCCUCUGCCCCACGGAACAGCGACGGAUCUGAUACGGCAGAGAUGGUCCCGUUGGUGAGAGAUGGGGAUGGGCACAAUCUGCCCCCUCUGCAGCUUCAGGUGGUUCCUGAUGUAAAAUCAAGUAAAAGGGGUAUUUACUCCUGUCAGUGCACAAUGUAUAUAACCCCCGACAUGCACGAAGAUGAUGGGGCAGAACUGACAGUGAGGGUCAAUCACAUGACUCUGAUCUCUCCCAUCUCUGUGUCCUGUCGGCUCAAAGUGCUGAAAGAACCCCCAAAACCUUCUCCAAUUGGGGGAGCGGAACGCCUGGUGCAUCUGAGAAAAUCGACCCUGCGCUGUCGGAUCCCCGGGUCCCUGCCAGAACCCACUGAAAUCACUUUAUAUUUGCAAAGAAAAGGCGAAGAACAGAUUGAGAUUCUCUCUUGGAAACCUGGGGGGAAAGCUCUGCCAUUUACUGCAGUGUCACAAAGCGCUGAGGGGCAGGUGGCUAAUAAGGCAAAAACAGAGCAGGAAGUGAGUAAUGGAAAUUCAGCGAGUCUGCCCCCGGCACAGAGGCCCCUGCGAGUGGAAAUGGUUCCUGUAAUAACAACAAGUACAAAUGGCGACUCCAACUGUCAGUGCAUAAUCCAUAUAACCCCCGACAUAGAGGAAGAUGAUGGGGCAGAACUGACUGUGAGGGUCACUCACUCUGAGCUGAGAGAACCCUACUCUGUAUCCUGUCGGCUGGAGGUGAACGAAGAGACAAUGUUACUGGUGAUGGAUGAGGAUUAUACAGUGAGAGUUGCCCCACCGCCCCGGGACCCUACAGAUAACUUCCACACGAGGGCAAUAACUCUGGGGAGACUUGAGGGAUUAGAUAACAUUGCCCUGAGUCCUACUGGGAAACUCUUUGCCAUCCGAGAGGGAAAUCUCUACACCGGCCCAGUGUCGUCUUGUAUCAACCAAAUCUUGUUCUCCCUCGACCGAAGAAUUGGGCGCGGUGCGUGGGACAUGUUUAAACUCUUCUCAGUUGAUCCCAGGGGGCUUCUCUGUGCAGUGGGGGAUUCUGGAUCAGUUUACUGGGGCCCCCGCCCAGAGGAUGAAAGCCAGAACUGGGUUGGGGACCUGGGUGAAUAUGUAGGAAACUAUAACUGCAGUGAUACCGACUCUAUCGUCUUCGACCCACAAGGGGCUUUAUAUGCAAUAACAAGCAAUGGUCGGAUUCAGAUGUGGGUCAGACCAGCAGAGACAGACAGUGAUUGGUUGGACUUGGGAACCGCACUCAGCCAAAGAGACGGCAGAGAUUCCCCCCAUGUGAUCUCUUUCUGCCCUGAGGGAAACCUCUGGUGGGUCAGUAAGGCUGAUGGCAAACUGUAUAAAGGGCCCCAGCCAACUCAGGGGAACCCGGGGUAUUGGGAGAAGGCCACGUUCUUGGGCCCCGACUAUCAUCGUUACAGGCUAUUUGGCUUCAUCGGAGCAACGUUCAUUCAGAAGAUCCAGAGUUUCGAGUUCCUCCCUGAACUGGGGAAAAUUGUCAAAGAAAGGAAUAUAAUAGUCAAUACAGAGACCUAUAAUAACAGUACAGGGGGCACCACACUGAAUGGCACUUACAGCUUCAAGGAAACCAUAAAGGAAGUGAGCAGAUUUAUUCAUGAUCAUAACAUUGUGUUUGUGGGGGAGGCAGAAACCACUUUCACCGGGGGGAUUCCUGUUAUUGGCAUGGAAAGGGCUUCCAGGAUUUCCCUCGAUAAUAACGUCACUCACCGGUGGGAUUUCACCAACACCAAUGAGCGAGAGGUGACUUUAUCGCUACAAGAAGCUGUUGCGGUUGGAAGUGGGAAGACUGUACGUAUGGGGGCGUCGGUCCAGAAAGCCAAAGUGCGAGUUCCCUACAGGGUCCGGCUCCUCACAGCCCAAGGCCGCACUGUAACCAUUGGGGGCAGCUGGGAAGGGACCACCUUCUAUAAGCUGAGGGCGGUACCAAGAGAAGCCCGGGGCAGGGGGCGGAAGAAACGCUCAUACCCUAAGUUACCACCAGAAGACAUUUGGAAAGAAGAGAGCUGCUAUGAUUCAAUGUACAGAGACCGGUGGGACAGAGACAGUGACAUCUCCAGCAACGAGAGGUUCCUACCGAGACGCAGAGUAACAAAAGAACCCCCAAAACCUUCUCCAAUUGGGGGAGCGGAACGCCUGGUGCAUCUGAGAAAAUCCACCCUGAGCUGUCGGAUCCCCGGGUCCCUGCCAGAACCCACUGAAAUCACUUUAUAUUUGCAAAGAAAAGGCAAAGAACAGAUUGAGAUUCUCUCUUGGAAACCUGGGGAAAAACCUCUGCCAUUUACUGCAGUGUCACAAAGUGCAGAGGGGCACUUGGCUGUUGAGCCAGAGAGAGAAGGGUUAGUGGGUAACGGGGAGACUAAUCUGCCCCCGGCACAGAGGGCGCUGCGAGUGGAAAUGGUUCCUGUAAUAACAACAAGUAAAAAUGGCGACUUCAACUGUCAGUGCACAAUCCAUAUAACCCCCGACAUAGAGGAAGAUGAUGGGGCAGAACUGACUGUGAGGGUCACUCACUCUGCCCUGAGGGGCCCCAUCUCUAAGUCCUGUCGGCUGGAGGUGAAUGAAGAGACAAUGUUACUGGUGAUGGAUGAGGAUUAUACAGUGAGAGUUGCCCCCCCGCCCCGGGACCCUACAGAUAACUUCCACACGAGGGCAAUAACUCUGGGGAGACUUGAGGGAUUAGAUAACAUUGCCCUGAGUCCUACUGGGAAACUCUUUGCCAUCCGAGAGGGAAAUCUCUACACCGGCCCAGUGUUGUCUUGUGUCAACCAAAUCUUGUUCUCCCUCGACCGAAGAAUUGGGUGCGGUGCGUGGGACGUGUUUAAACUCUUCUCAGUUGAUCCCAGGGGGCUUCUCUGUGCAGUGGGGGAUUCUGGAUCACUUUACUGGGGCCCCCGCCCAGAGGAUGAAAGCCAGAACUGGGUUGGGGACCUGGGUGAAUAUGUAGGAAACUAUAACUGCAGUGAUACCGACUCUAUCGUCUUCGACCCACAAGGGGCUUUAUAUGCAAUAACAAGCGAUGGUCGGAUUCAGAUGUGGGUCAGACCAGCAGAGACAGACAGUGAUUGGUUGGACUUGGGAACCGCACUCAGCCAAAGAGACGGCAGAGAUUCCCCCCAUGUGAUCUCUUUCUGCCCUGAGGGAAACCUCUGGUGGGUCAGUAAGGCUGAUGGCAAACUGUAUAAAGGGCCCCAGCCAACUCAGGGGAACCCGGGGUAUUGGGAGAAGGCCACGUUCUUGGGCCCCGACUAUCAUCGGUACAGGCUAUUUGGCUUCAUCGGAGCAACGUUCAUUCAGAAGAUCCAGGACUUUGAGUUCCUCCCUGAACUGGGGGAAAUUGUCACAGAAAGGAAUAUGAUAUUAAUGGAAGAGACCUAUGAUAACGGCGACGGGGGCGGCACAUUAAAUGAGACUUUCAGUUUCAGGAAAUCCAUAAAGGAAGUGAGCAGAUUUAUUCAUGAUCAUAACAUUGUGUUUGUGGGGGAGGCAGAAACCACUUUCACCGGGGGGAUUCCUGUUAUUGGCAUGGAAAGGGCUUCCAGGAUUUCCCUCGAUAAUAACGUCACUCACCGGUGGGAUUUCACCAACACCAAUGAGCGAGAGUGCUUCCUCCAUAUUCUUGUUUGGAUUGGUGAAAUAUGCCUGGAUCGGGGGUGUCUGGUGACGUGGCAGCACGGGCCCUAGAGGCAGUGGAUUCGGUCCGGUGAGUGCUCCCCUUUACUAUAUCUUAUUACAAUAUCCAUGUUGUUCUCUAGGCUAUAGAAUGCCCUUUUCUCUUUUAUUGUAAGAUUAUUUUUAUCAGAAGGGGAUCUCUGUCUACACUCAAUUCUAGCUCAACAUAUUCACAGUGUGAUCUUUUGGAUAUACUGGAUAAAAGUUUGAUCUAGAUCUCGCUGUAGUUGUUCUAAUUGCAAAACUAUGUUCAUUUUCUUUAAAGCUAGAGACAUUAGACUGUAAAACUGUAGGAUUAACCUCAUUAACUUCAUCACUCCUAUUUCUAUUAUCAACAUGAUCGUCAUCAUAAAAAUGUUUUUUCAAUAGUAAUUUACGCACAAACCAAUUAAUAUCUGUAAUAGUAUUAAACAAAUCAAAGUCUUUUACUGGACAGAAGGUGAGGCCUUUCUCUGGAACACUCAGAAUUCUGUCGGAGAGAUUCAGAACCUUUUCCUCCUUCGGUCUCUCGAUGUUCUGGUGUCUUCCUCGCCGGAUUUGCUUGAGCGAGAGUUCAUUUUGUUUUUCCACUUGGACCACUUGUCUUGUCUGUUUUUUGCAGAGGAGGAAGAUUUUGAUCUCAUUUCAUCAUCAGAGACGGCCUCUUUUCUACGUAUAUCUCUAGCAGCCUGAGAAGGCAGAGGAGAAGCAGCCGCCGACCCAGUGGGAGUGAAAGUGAGCGACUCGCCAGUGAAAGUACUGAGGGACCAGGAUGUGUUUAUCCCAUGUACAAUCACUGGAUACAGCAGCGCAGAACUGGACCUACAGCGCCUCUCUGUCCAUUGGACCCUGGGAUCCGGCCCAGUUUAUAUCUAUGAAAGACGAUCCCACAUUCCUAUCAGGCCGGGAUCAGAAUUAGACGUUCGGCUGAUUAAAGGCAACGCUGGGCUUUCCCUGGCGCAGGUACAAAUCACUGAUGAGGGAGAAUAUACCUGCACUGUUACCUACGAUAAUGAGUGGGCAGAGGGGAGAUCUGCUCUGGAGGUGGCAGUUAAACCCAGUGCCAGCCUGGUGCCCCCCGACGUUAUUAUAGAGGAAGGAACAGAGAGGGGGGUUACAUGCCGAGCCAGUAAUUAUUACCCAGAAACAAUAAAGUUCCAGUGGAUAAAACAACUCAGUGACACUGCAUAUGUUGUGCUGCGCCAAGGAGUCUCCACCAAUGAGCCGCUAGAGAAUGGGGACGGAACCUUCACUGUAACCAGUCAGCUGCUGUUAAAUCCUUCUAUGGGGGAUGAUGGGGGAAAGUAUUCCUGUGUCAUAUCCCACAGAUCCCUGGGAGACUCUCUGGUUCUGGAUUUUACUCUCUCAGUAAAGGGU